rnacentral:rRNA from 1 species
AACAAGCGGAACGCGUGUCCUCUGUUGCCAGAGGGUCAUGCCGGGCACUCUGAGGAGACUGCCGUGGUCAACACGGAGAAAGGUGGGGACGACGUCAAGUCAGCAUGGCGGUUACGCCCAGGGCGUCACACAUGCUACAAUGGGUGGUACAAAGGGCAGCCAACGCGCGAGCGGGAGCGAAUCCCGAAAAACCACCCUCAGUUGGGAUCGCAGUCUGCAACUCGACUGCGUGAACGCGGAAUCGCUAGUAACGGCGGGUCAGCCAUACCGCCGUGAAUACGUCCCCGGGCCUUGUACACACCGCCCGUCAAGUCACCCGAGUCGGCUGCACCCGAAGUCGGUCGCCUAACCCGCACGGGAGGAAGCCGCCGAAGGUGUGGCUGGUAAGGGGGACUAAGUCGUAGCAAGGUAA